rnacentral:rRNA from 1 species
GAUGAACGCUGGCGGCGUGCUUAACACAUGCAAGUCGAACGGGAAACCUUUUAUUGAAGCUUCGGCAGAUUUCGCUGGUUUCUAGUGGCGGACGGGUGAGUAACGCGUGGGUAACCUGCCCUAUACAGGGGGAUAACAACCAGAAAUGGUUGCUAAUACCGCAUAAGCGCACAGGGCCGCAUGGUCCGGUGUGAAAAACUCCGGUGGUAUAGGAUGGACCCGCGUUGGAUUAGCCAGUUGGCAGGGUAACGGCCUACCAAAGCGACGAUCCAUAGCCGGCCUGAGAGGGUGAACGGCCACAUUGGGACUGAGACACGGCCCAGACUCCUACGGGAGGCAGCAGUGGGGAAUAUUGCACAAUGGGGGAAACCCUGAUGCAGCGACGCCGCGUGAAGGAAGAAGUAUCUCGGUAUGUAAACUUCUAUCAGCAGGGAAGAUAGUGACGGUACCUGACGAAGAAGCCCCGGCUAACUACGUG